GCUGUAAGUGAAUCGUGAAGGGUUUGAACCUGCAGCAGGUUCGAGUUGAGCGCAAGCGAAACAACGUUGUGAUAACAACGGCCCGGAGGGUGACAGUCAUCCUGCACGACCCACCA
rnacentral:sRNA from 1 species